rnacentral:rRNA from 1 species
CUCAGAUUGAACGCUGGCGGCAGGCCUAACACAUGCAAGUCGAGCGGUAGCACAGAGAGCUUGCUCUCGGGUGACGAGCGGCGGACGGGUGAGUAAUGUCUGGGAAACUGCCUGAUGGAGGGGGAUAACUACUGGAAACGGUAGCUAAUACCGCAUAACGUCGCAAGACCAAAGUGGGGGACCUUCGGGCCUCAUGCCAUCAGAUGUGCCCAGAUGGGAUUAGCUAGUAGGUGGGGUAACGGCUCACCUAGGCGACGAUCCCUAGCUGGUCUGAGAGGAUGACCAGCCACACUGGAACUGAGACACGGUCCAGACUCCUACGGGAGGCAGCAGUGGGGAAUAUUGCACAAUGGGCGCAAGCCUGAUGCAGCCAUGCCGCGUGUGUGAAGAAGGCCUUCGGGUUGUAAAGCACUUUCAGCGGGGAGGAAGGCGUUAAGGUUAAUAACCUUGGCGAUUGACGUUACCCGCAGAAGAAGCACCGGCUAACUCCGUGCCAGCAGCCGCGGUAAUACGGAGGGUGCAAGCGUUAAUCGGAAUUACUGGGCGUAAAGCGCACGCAGGCGGUCUGUCAAGUCGGAUGUGAAAUCCCCGGGCUCAACCUGGGAACUGCAUUCGAAACUGGCAGGCUAGAGUCUUGUAGAGGGGGGUAGAAUUCCAGGUGUAGCGGUGAAAUGCGUAGAGAUCUGGAGGAAUACCGGUGGCGAAGGCGGCCCCCUGGACAAAGACUGACGCUCAGGUGCGAAAGCGUGGGGAGCAAACAGGAUUAGAUACCCUGGUAGUCCACGCCGUAAACGAUGUCGAUUUGGAGGUUGUGCCCUUGAGGCGUGGCUUCCGGAGCUAACGCGUUAAAUCGACCGCCUGGGGAGUACGGCCGCAAGGUUAAAACUCAAAUGAAUUGACGGGGGCCCGCACAAGCGGUGGAGCAUGUGGUUUAAUUCGAUGCAACGCGAAGAACCUUACCUGGUCUUGACAUCCACAGAACUUACCAGAGAUGCAUUGGUGCCUUCGGGAACUGUGAGACAGGUGCUGCAUGGCUGUCGUCAGCUCGUGUUGUGAAAUGUUGGGUUAAGUCCCGCAACGAGCGCAACCCUUAUCCUUUGUUGCCAGCGGUUAGGCCGGGAACUCAAAGGAGACUGCCAGUGAUAAACUGGAGGAAGGUGGGGAUGACGUCAAGUCAUCAUGGCCCUUACGACCAGGGCUACACACGUGCUACAAUGGCAUAUACAAAGAGAAGCGACCUCGCGAGAGCAAGCGGACCUCAUAAAGUAUGUCGUAGUCCGGAUUGGAGUCUGCAACUCGACUCCAUGAAGUCGGAAUCGCUAGUAAUCGUAGAUCAGAAUGCUACGGUGAAUACGUUCCCGGGCCUUGUACACACCGCCCGUCACACCAUGGGGAGUGGGUUGCAAAAGAAGUAGGUAGCUUAACCUUCGGGAGGGCGCUUACCACUUUGUGAUUCAUGACUGG